rnacentral:rRNA from 1 species
UACGAAGGGGGCUAGCGUUGCUCGGAAUUACUGGGCGUAAAGCGCACGUAGGCGGCUUGUUAAGUCGGAGGUGAAAUCCUGGAGCUCAACUCCAGAACUGCCUUCGAUACUGGCGAGCUCGAGUCCGGGAGAGGUGAGUGGAACUGCGAGUGUAGAGGUGAAAUUCGUAGAUAUUCGCAAGAACACCAGUGGCGAAGGCGGCUCACUGGCCCGGUACUGACGCUGAGGUGGCGAAAGCGUGGGGAGCAAACAGG